rnacentral:rRNA from 1 species
AUGGAAAGGGAGAAGAUGGAGAGGGGCAAGUCUGAGCUGAGGAUGGCCAUCGACGACCUCUGCUUGCCCAGCUCAGGAGAUGGUGAAUAUCAGGAGCAGCAGGGGAAAGUUAGGAGGCCAUCCACCAUGGAUCUCCUCUGUGUCUCCAACCAGCUUCUACGUGUCCUUGAUGCGAUUGGGCCAACGCUUCUAGUCCUCAGGCAAGACAUUCAGCAAAAUGUUCAGAGAUUACAGGAUCUCCAUGCAAGAGACACCUCGAAAUACGCGGGCUUGAUGGAGAUCGUGAUGGAAGAAAUGGAGGAAGGGACCUCAAAGAAGACCAACAGUUGUACAAGGGCAAUUAUCUGGCUGGCUAGCCUGCAAGAGAUGGUGGAAGAAGCAUACGAGAGCACCCUGAAGCCAUUCCAUGGAUGGAUCUCAUCAGCUGCUUACAGGGUAGCAUUGCGACUCAUUCCAGAGAGAGACAUCUUCAUUGAGUUGCUAAUGGGGAACUGCCAGAAUACCGGGGAUUUUGGGGAAGAUGUCAUGAUCUUGGUCUCCAUUGUACAGCCUCUGCUAGAGGAGAUCAAUGUCAUCUACAGAUGUCUGCUUGCUCAGGGCGGGUUGGCGCAGCUUCUCACGGACCCGAUUGCUUUUUUUCAAAAAACAUAUAAGGACCCGAUUGCUUUUUAA